rnacentral:tRNA from 1 species
UGCAUCGGCUGGGAAUCGAACCCUGGCCGCCCGCGUGGCAGGCGAGCAUUCUACCACUGAAUCACCGAUGC